GAUUUCUGGACCCAGUACCUUCAAAUCAGGUCGCUUCUCCUUCAGGUACUUCUGGUUCAGCUGAACAUCCCAACACCCCCGCAAGUCCAAGAACUCAAGGUCCUUGCACCCCGAAAGAAUCUCGAUGACUCCGCCAGUCGUCAAGAGAGAGUAGGCCACCUCGAGAUGUCGGAGCUUAGGCAUUGUGGUUGCGAUAGCACCGGCCUCGUCAUCCUGGCAAAACUUCUCUGCUACCUCCAGUGGGUGCAUUGCCCGCUUCAGUCCAACGAGAGACUUGCAGUUCUUCCCAAUAAUCGCAAGACCAGGGGCACCGAGCUUUUGACAGUAGCUGACAUCCAAGAAGGUGACAGUGGAUAGUCUUGAUGCAACCUGUUCUACGAUCGAAUCACUGAUUUCACACCUUGGUAGUUCGAGAGUUUGAAGGGAGCCAGCAUGGUUAGCGAUGUAGGCGAAUAUUUCUUCGCUGGCGAGGCCUGAGACGGCCAG
rnacentral:misc_RNA from 1 species